rnacentral:lncRNA from 1 species
CAGAGUACCAUACAAAGGGCAAUCGAUCAGCUGUGUAAAUAUAAAUCAUUCUUACAAUAAACAACUCUAUAAAAUUAAAAGAACACCUCCAUUCUAGGAAAUAUAAAUCAUUCAUACAAUAAACACCUCCAUACAAUUAAAAGAACACAACAGACUUAGAAUUAUGACAAGUAUUGGAACUAAGACAAGAAUUAUGAAAUCAGCUGUGCAUACUUCACCUCAAACUAACACCACCAAAUAUCAAUUGUUCUUAGCAAUAAAAAAAACUAAAUGAAUUCAAUUGAAAGCAAUUGCAGAUACUCUCUCAAAUCAGUCCCUCAAGAGACAACAACGGAGAGAGGCUGAGGCAAAGAGACAGCAACGGAGAGAGGCUGAGGCACGACGUAAAGAGACGACGGCGAGAGGAAGUAAACAGACAGCGAUGAGAGGCGUCAUGCAAGCACUGACGAGAGCCGUCGUUUGGCAGCGUCGAGCAACACGGAGGAAGGCACCAGAGAGAGCGAAAGACACGGUUUUAGUGUGGGGAAAGCGUUCGCAGCUCCGAGCAACAAGGGUUUUGGGGGGAAGUUCGCAAGCAACAAAGAGGGUUUCAGUUCUGAUAGUUCGCGGUAAAGGCUUUUGGGGGGAUUCAUGUAAUUUUUGGGGAAAUUAUUU